UGGCGAACGGGUGAGUAAUACAUCGGAACGUGUCCUGUAGUGGGGGAUAGCCCGGCGAAAGCCGGAUUAAUACCGCAUACGACCUAAGGGAGAAAGCGGGGGAUCUUCGGACCUCGCGCUAUAGGGGCGGCCGAUGGCAGAUUAGCUAGUUGGUGGGGUAAAGGCCUACCAAGGCGACGAUCUGUAGCUGGUCUGAGAGGACGACCAGCCACACUGGGACUGAGACACGGCCCAGACUCCUACGGAGGCAGCAGUGGGGAAUUUUGGACAAUGGGGGCAACCCUGAUCCAGCAAUGCCGCGUGUGUGAAGAAGGCCUUCGGGUUGUAAAGCACUUUAGUCCGGAAAGAAAACCUCGUGGCUAAUAUCCGUGAGGGAUGACGGUACCGGAAGAAUAAGCACCGGCUAACUACGUGCCAGCAGCCGCGGUAAUACGUAGGGUGCGAGCGUUAAUCGGAAUUACUGGGCGUAAAGCGUGCGCAGGCGGUCUGUUAAGACCGAUGUGAAAUCCCCGGGCUUAACCUGGGAACUGCAUUGGUGACUGGCAGGCUUUGAGUGUGGCAGAGGGAGGUAGAAUUCCACGUGUAGCAGUGAAAUGCGUAGAGAUGUGGAGGAAUACCGAUGGCGAAGGCAGCCUCCUGGGCCAACACUGACGCUCAUGCACGAAAGCGUGGGGAGCAAACAGGAUUAGAUACCCUGGUAGUCCACGCCCUAAACGAUGUCAACUAGUUGUUGGGGAUUCAUUUCCUUAGUAACGUAGCUAACGCGUGAAGUUGACCGCCUGGGGAGUACGGUCGCAAGAUUAAAACUCAAAGGAAUUGACGGGGACCCGCACAAGCGGUGGAUGAUGUGGAUUAAUUCGAUGCAACGCGAAAAACCUUACCUACCCUUGACAUGGUCGGAACCCUGCUGAAAGGUGGGGGUGCUCGAAAGAGAACCGGCGCACAGGUGCUGCAUGGCUGUCGUCAGCUCGUGUCGUGAGAUGUUGGGUUAAGUCCCGCAACGAGCGCAACCCUUGUCCUUAGUUGCUACGCAAGAGCACUCUAAGGAGACUGCCGGUGACAAACCGGACGAAGGUGGGGAUGACGUCAAGUCCUCAUGGCCCUUAUGGGUAGGGCUUCACACGUCAUACAAUGGUCGGAACAGAGGGUAGCCAAGCCGCG
rnacentral:rRNA from 1 species